UUGUUGCUGUGGACAGAGAAAGACGCAGAGAGAAAGAGAGAGAGAGAGAGAAGCACGGUCAGCGGACGAAUCGCGACACUGAGACAACGACAUGGCGUGAGCCUGCAAGAGGAGACGAAACACGGAGAACUCAUCGGCUCACACACAAGACACAAGGACGUGUCCUGUCCAGAGAAAAAGAGAGAGGACGACGAGCGGACACUGACCACAUCCCUAUGUCCUCUGACCUCUGGCUAAUGGGACCAUGUGAAUGCUACAGAUGUACAGACUCACUGUGGACAAGGUGACGACAAGAAACAAGAAAAUUACACCAGCUCCUGUCUGGAUGGGAAUCACCAGGGAAACCACAUUUUUUAUCGAUAAUGUAUAUAUAUAUAAAAAAAAAAAAACUUGAAAAAAGACAAAAAAAAAAGAAGAAACUGGUUGUAAUACCACCGUCAUGAAUAUGUAUAUUUUCACAGGAUGUGUAUAGGGGUUCAGCCAGGCUUUCAAAGUUGAGAAUAAGCGUUGGGAAUGAUGCAAGUACAAUUCUAUGUGUAAAUCAGAAGUUCGAGUUGGUUACAGAUAAACGGUAUUUUCCACACAUAAUACACAAACACACACAAUGCGAGGCUUUACUUCAGUUCCUCCUCUGUAAUUCCCCCUCUCAAAGUUUAAAUGUGAAGAUCACUCGAGUCCAAACCCAGAAAAUGACUCUGUUUCAUGUCGUCUGAAGCCAAAGACGCGCUGCGAAAAGUAAAACAGUAUUUGGACGCAACCUGCUAAGUUCUCUAAUACACCCCGCCCCGUCAGUCAGUAAUUAGCAGGGAUAUUCUUGGAUGGAGACAUCUGUGACAUUUGAAAAUGAAAGUUGAAACUGCAGCAGAAUAAACAUGUCAGGGAGAAUUACACACAUAACCCGACUGCUCAAAGAGGGAUCUUUCAUGUUGCAGCUGCGGCUAAAAGCUGCUGUGACAGCUUCCCUGCAAACUCCAGGGCUGGAGACAACUUCUCUGUGGCCACAUGAAAUGGCUUGCCUCUUUAUCUCCUGAUGAGAGGCGGCGAGAUUGAGAUGGGGGGGAGAGAGGGGGACGCGCAGGGAGAGUGAGAGGGAACGCUGAUGUGACGACUGAAGGCUGGUGUUUAGCACAGAGCACUGGCACACCCUGAGACAGCGCUACAUAUGCAGCAGUCAAACAUGGGCAAGACACACAUGCAUAAUGGAGGCCCAUUACAUGCCAACUGUCUGAACAGCUUCCUAAAGCAGCUGUGAGGCCAGUGAACAUGAAGUGGAAAGAUCCAUUGAGGUCUAAAGCAUUUAUACUUUCACAAGCGAGUGCAAAAAAAAAAAAAAAAAAAUAUGCACGAAAAUGCAAAUGCAAUGAACAAAACCCCCCGCACACAAACUGGAUUCCAAGAAAUGUUUUUCUCAUCAACGCGCGCACACACACACAGAUGAAUACAAACUCUUACACACAACCAACCCCCCCCCCCCCCGUCUAAGCUCUGAGUAAAGUUCCACCAGGAGGAGCCCUGGUGUGUAAUGUCGCUGCAGCAGAUUGAGCGUGUUUGAAGUGCAGCGUGAUGAGAGAGCUGGUAAACAGCAGAUGAAAAAGCAGCAUCUCUCUGUGCGCCGCUGUCUGUCUCACCUGCCAGCGAGGCGAUAACUCCAUCCACAUCACAUGUCGCCAUAUCAAAGACCGACAAAUGCCAAGCAGUGUCUCUGACUUGCAGGUUCACACGCACUCAGUUUAACUCAUCUCCCUCACUUAGGGCAUCUGAUUUAGCUCAUCUGAAAGCGAAAUGCCUUUCAAACCUCACUGAAGAUUUCAGGGCUGCAAGCUCUGACUCGCCGACGCCCCCCUUUAACUUGGCUGACUUUCAGAGCAGUUUGUUUGUGUCCAAUUACCAAACACUGCUCCUGCUCUGGGUUAAAAUAUUUAUAAAAAAAAAUAAAUUGCUUUCAUGUUUGUAAUCCAGAUUUGUGCAGCUUAAUUCUCAAUGAAACGUUCAGUAUAUAUUCCAAAAGUGCUUCCAUUUUUAUUUUUUUUUUUUGGAAAGCAAGUCCGGGCCGCUGCUUCUCUGCUGGCUGCAGUCGUCCACUCAGCGUUGAAUGUGCACAAAGUGCACGAAGCGUUAGUGCUGUGUGUCCAGCAAUGUGCUGUCUUAUUGGUGUUUAGCUCAUCCCCCGCACCACUUGACCUCGUGACCUCCGUAAAAGAUAAGGCUGAUGAGAUUAGGCAUUAACAUGCUCAGCCACCCACCGCAGCCAUUUAUCAUUUUGUGUGAGUGUGUGUGUGUGUGUGUGCGUUUGCAGAUAGGAGGCGAGUCUGAGGUAGUGGGAAAGAGAACAAGAGGGGGCGAGUGAACAUCUCAGCACCGUUAAGACACAAACACACACGCAUGCUUGAACAUGAGAAUGUGCCCGCACGCAAAGCAAGAACAAACACACAACCAAACACUUGGUACGACCCACGUGCACAUCUGCAUCCAGGGCGCACAUCCCUGGUGGUCUUUCUAACCCGCGUCCAAACUGUAGAUUAAGCCUGUAAAUUUCGCUGUCUACAAACUGAUGGACUUUGACGUGUGUCUUUCUAUCUUCUGCAACUAAAUGUGAAUCAUUACCUUGUGUACAGUAGUUUUCAAAAAGAAACAUCUGUGGUGUUUUGCUAUCGAUCGACUAUCCCGAGCUGCGGACUUGACCCAGAAUUAAAUUACAAAAUUAGGACUUGAGGCUGUCUGACAGUUUGAGCUGAUUACUAUUCCAACUGGUGUUUUUAAGGUUGCUUUAAAGGCAGCUGGCCUCUUUAGAAAGCCAGCCACACUUUUUUUCCUGUGCAAUGUAAAUCUUUAAAAGGAAAAUAUUUAAAUCCAUGUGUUUUUAAUAAGCGGAGACUAAAUUCAGAAACCUGCAGGACUCAAAUGAAGACUCGUUUUCAAUGACUUCACUUGGACAAUCCCCAAAACAACACCAGCUCUGCCACUGAUUUGGGGGGGGAGGGGACAUGCACCAUGGCAACCACGAAAUAAUCUCUAUGCUUACACUACAACGUGAAGAUCACAGCAAUAUGACAAACCAAAGGAGCAGGACAGCAGCAAGUGUGAAAGCAGAUUUUGUAGAUUACCUCUGUGUAUGUCUGCUUUUUUGGGGGGAGCGGGAUAAGAAACACAAAUACCGGGGAAAUACUUACGAACCACCCUGCAAUAAGCUGUCUGUUUAUAAGUGGCAAUAAGCGCGUACUUAGCCUGGGAUUCAACACUGCGGUUCUGGAACUGCUCUGGGACCAGAUCCAAGUCUUCCGAUCUCAGUAUCGACUCAGUACCCAAGGACCUCAUGGACUUGCAAUAGAAAUGUCCUUGUAUAGUGUUACGCAAUAAUCAGAUGUUGAGAACUCCUCCAUAUUGAGCGUAUUCAAAAGCAAAAAGGGGUACCCGGAGGGAGGGGGGGAGGGGAUGUGAUGAUGUUGUUGAAUUAACAGUAUUGUUAUUUUGCCGUGUUCCGUUCUGUGUCUUCAUCAUCCAAGUUGUACUCAGCUGUAUGAGCCCUCUCUGACCCUAUGCAUGUGAUCCUUCACCCCACAUCUGUAGUUACGACAUUGACCUCUCCCUCUGACCUGGAUGUAAAUAGCCCAGUACUGUAGAGCAGUCUGUUUUUGGCCCGUCCCUGUACAUACAGAACUGUAAAUACUACCAGCUAUGCAUGCUGAAAACCUAGCAAUUCUUUCAGGUACUUUUAUAAUCCCCCAAAUUCUCAUAUGGCAUGUGCUGAAAAAUAAAUUUAAAAAAGUAGAAAAAAUAAAAGAUUAAAAUUAAAAAAAAAAAAAAAAAAAAUGUUUAAAAUAAAUGGGUUGAUAAUAUUGUCAGGCAAUAUCCUCUCUUGGACAGUGUGUGUAGAGUCUUCCUGUUUUCUUACUCCUGUGGGUGGUUCUCUUCCUUUGCCUGUCCUGUGUUUCUGCUCACCAUCUGUGUCACUUGUUGUCAGUUGGCAUUUGUACAGCAGCGAGGGUUGAGGCAGAGAAGAGAAGAGAAAAGAAGAGAGGGGGAGCGUUCACCAUCUUGACCUCUGUGAUGGCACUCCAAUUCAGCAGCAGCAGUGCUAAACGUUGGCAAACUUAUCUAUGCCUGGGACACAAUUUGAGAAGUUCGUUCCUGGCACGGACCACAAAUAAUUACGCUCGUCGUGUGAAGGCCCGCUGGAUAUCCAGGGAACGGUUUCGGUCAGAACUAUAAGUUUUGGGGUUUUUCUCGGCCUACUUAAAGUUUGGGAUGCUGUCCGUCACAGACAAGCAGCGUUUUGUGGUCUUAAGUACCUACGUUGUUGCUCUUAUCAUUUCUCAGAAAUCCUGUUUUAGACAUAUUUGAACUGACAUCUAAACUACAGUACGUAUUUUCUUUCCUCAUCUAUUAAUGGUAUAUCAUAAAUAUAACGGCAUUCAGUGAAAAAAAAGGAAAAAAAAGGCAAUUUUCUACCACCCAGCGUAAUAAGGCUACCGCAUACAUUUGGAAAAGUACUUCCUGGCUGGUAGCCUCAGUGAAGGGAUCAGGAGGAGUGCAGUUUUUGCCUCAGCCCUCUGCCCAGCCUCGUGGAGUAGCUAUCCUGAAAGCGGGACUCCAGAUUGAUUGUGAUUCUGUUUCAGGAAUGUUUUUUUUUGUUUCUUUUAUUUUGUUUUUCAACCUGUGAUGUUUCAAAUUGAUGGAGGUGUCUGAUUUUUAAUCUGUGCUAAAGAUAUUUUACAUUUAAUAAAUAACCAUUGAAAUCAAA